rnacentral:rRNA from 1 species
UCUAAAGACUAGUUUUUAGGUAACACCUGCCCAGUGAGUUUUUAACGGCCGCGGUAAUUUGACCGUGCUAAGGUAGCAUAAUCAUUUGUCUUUUAAUUGAAGACUGGUAUGAAAGGUGAAACAAGAAAUUUGCUGUCUUAAGAAAAUAAAUUGAAUUUUAUUUUUUAGUGAAAAAGCUAAAAUAAUCUUAUGGGACGAUAAGACCCUAUAGAUCUUUAUUAUUUUAAGUGAUUAAUUUUUAAUUAUAAUUUUAUUGGGGCGAUAAUAAGAAAGAAAUAUCUCUUGAGAUUUAAAAAUAUUAAUAACUAAAUUAGUUUUUGAUCCUAAAGGAUGGAGUAGCAGAGUAAGUUACCUUAGGGAUAACAGCGUAAUAUUUUUUUAGAGUUCUUAUCGAAAAAAAUGUUUGCGACCUCGAUGUU